rnacentral:lncRNA from 1 species
UUGUAAUACGUUUUUCAGACCGUUGUUUUUCUUUCAUGAAUUGUUUUACAUUUGUCAUUUCAUGGCCUUUUGAAGAGGAGAAGCGAAAGAUACCAAAGUAGAAAAAAAACAGACAACAUCAUGUUUAAAAACGGAACAAAGACAAACAACAGUACACAAAACAUUAAAUAACAAAGAAAACUAAUGACUUAGUAGCACGAACCUAGUCAAAAACAGGGAUUAUCACAGGUGCACCGGAAAUGUAAGCAGAUCCUGCUACACAUGUGUUAUUACAAAACCGGAAAAUAUCAGGUAUUUGAUAUUGGAGAAAACGGGACAAAACUGUAAUUGCAUAUCAGCGGACAUCUGUAAAACAGACAUUCCAUAUCAGUCAGCUAACGUAUUUUCUGGUUGUUACGUCUGUAAAAUUUACGAAG